UGACUNGAGUGCGGAAGGGGAGAGUGGAAUUCCAUGUGUAGCGGUGAAAUGCGUAGAUAUAUGGAGGAACNCCAGUGGCGAAAGCGGCUCUCUGGUCUGUCACUGACGCUGAGGCUCGAAAGCGUGGGUAGCGAACAGGAUUAGAUACCCUGGUAGUCCACGCCGUAAACGAUGAGUGCUAGGUGUUAGGCCCUUUCCGGGGCUUAGUGCCGGAGCUAACGCAAUAAGCACUCCGCCUGGGGAGUACGACCGCAAGGUUGAAACUCAAAGGAAUUGACGGGGGCCCGCACAAGCGGUGGAGCAUGUGGUUUAAUUCGAAGCAACGCGAAGAACCUUACCAGGUCUUGACAUCCCGAUGCUAUUCUUAGAGAUAGGAAGUUACUUCGGUACAUCGGAGACAGGUGGUGUAUGGUUGUCGUCAGCUCGUGUCGUGAGAUGUUGGGUUAAGUCCCGCAACGAGCGCAACCCUUAUUGUUAGUUGCCAUCAUUAAGUUGGGCACUCUAGCGAGACUGCCGGUAAUAAACCGGAGGAAGGUGGGGAUGACGUCAAAUCAUCAUGCCCCUUAUGACCUGGGCUACACACGUGCUACAAUGGUCGGUACAACGAGUUGCGAGCCGGUGACGGCAAGCUAAUCUCUGAAAGCCGAUCUCAGUUCGGAUUGGAGGCUGCAACUCGCCUCCAUGAAGUCGGAAUCGCUAGUAAUCGCGGAUCAGCACGCCGCGGUGAAUACGUUCCCGGGCCUUGUACACACCGCCCGUCACACCACGAGAGUUUGUAACACCCGAAGUCGGUGAGGUANCCUUUUAGGGGCCAGCCGCCUAAGGU
rnacentral:rRNA from 1 species